UACGUAGGGUGCGAGCGUUGUCCGGAAUUACUGGGCGUAAAGAGCUCGUAGGUGGUUUGUCGCGUCGUCUGUGAAAUUCCGGGGCUUAACUUCGGGCGUGCAGGCGAUACGGGCAAUACUUGAGUGCUGUAGGGGAGACUGUAAUUCCUGGUGUAGCGGUGAAAUGCGCAGAUAUCAGGAGGAACACCAAUGGCGAAGGCAGGUCUCUGGGCAGUUACUGACGCUGAGGAGCGAAAGCAUGGGUAGCGAACAGGAUUAGAUA
rnacentral:rRNA from 1 species